CAUCUGAACUUCUCCAACAGUCGACCUUCCACAGUGUCCUCCAGAUUCCUCCAACGGAUGAACUCCCAUCGUGCCAUCCGGACUUCUUCAAUAAUGAGCUCCUCCAUUCAUCUACUGGACUGCUCCAAACGCUCUCUGAGCUUCACUAUCAGCCAAUUUUCUACAGUGAUCGACCAUUCUCUGAAUCUUUUUCCAAACUUCUUCCAGCCAC
rnacentral:lncRNA from 1 species